UGGCUAACUCCGUGCCAGCAGCCGCGGUAAUACGGAGAGGGCUAGCGUUAUUCGGAAUUAUUGGGCGUAAAGGGCGCGUAGGCGGAUUAGUAAGUUAAAAGUGAAAUCCCGAGGCUCAACCUUGGAAUUGCUUUUAAAACUGUUAAUCUAGAGAUUGAAAGAGGAUAGAGGAAUUCCUAGUGUAGAGGUGAAAUUCGUAAAUAUUAGGAGGAACACCAGUGGCGAAGGCGUCUAUCUGGUUCAA
rnacentral:rRNA from 1 species